GACGAACGCUGGCGGCGUGCUUAACACAUGCAAGUCGAACGGAAAGGCCCUGCUUUUGUGGGGUGCUCGAGUGGCGAACGGGUGAGUAACACGUGAGUAACCUGCCCUUGACUUUGGGAUAACUUCAGGAAACUGGGGCUAAUACCGGAUAGGAGCUCCUGCUGCAUGGUGGGGGUUGGAAAGUUUCGGCGGUUGGGGAUGGACUCGCGGCUUAUCAGCUUGUUGGUGGGGUAGUGGCUUUCCAAGGCUUUGACGGGUAGCCGGCCUGAGAGGGUGACCGGCCACAUUGGGACUGGGAUGCGGCCCAGAGGCCUUCGGGAGGCAGCGGUGGGGACUAUUCCGAGAUGGGCGGAAGCAUGAAGCAGCAACGCCGCGUGCGGGAUGACGGCCUUCGGGUUGUAACCCGCUUUCGCCUGUGACGAAGCGUGAGUGACGGUAAUGGGGAAAGAAGCACCGGCUACUUACGU
rnacentral:rRNA from 1 species